CAGUAGCCGCGGUAAUACGGAGGGAGCUAGCGUUGUUCGGAAUUGCUGGGCGUAAGGCGCACGUAGGCGGUUAUUCAAGUCAGAGGUGAAAGCCCGGGGCUCAACCCCGGAACUGCCUUUGAAACUAGAUGACUGGAAUCUUGGAGAGGUCAGUGGAAUCCCGAGUGUAGAGGUGAAAUUCGUAGAUAUUCGGAAGAACACCAGUGGCGAAGGCGACUGACUGGACAAGUAUUGACGCUGAGGUGCGAAAGCGUGGGGAGCAAACAGGAUUAGAGACCCGCGUAGUCCCUGUCUCUUAUAC
rnacentral:rRNA from 1 species